rfam:Burkholderia vietnamiensis G4 chromosome 1, complete sequence.
GUCGCUGAAACAACAGUGACCCGGUUUGGCGACCGGAAUUUGUCAAAGGCGGACAACCGCCUGAGCGCGGUUUUUUU